GCGUCGUAGAAGCCUCCGACCAAGCUCUUCCGGACGGUGCUGUCGGAGAGGCCAUCCUUCAUGCAAGAAUUCCCCCUCCAGCUGACGCCGUUAUGCUUCGGCAGCGGACCAGCUGACAUUCAGAACGAUACAUCGUCAGAAGACAGAGAUGGAGACGGAGGGAGGAAAGGAGUGAAAAAAA